AUUUUAGGUGGCACUCACAACCCGCACUAUUCGGACAGAUGGCACAGAAACCGCUGCGCCUGGAGAAGUGGAUACCAAAAAAUGUGGUUCUGCUUUGGUUUCCAGUCUUGCCACGGGCUUGAAACCAAGAUAUCAUUUUGCUGCUUUGGAAAAGACUUAUUAUGAGAGGCUUCCAUAUCGUUUACCAUUCAGAUCUUCUCUUCUCCCUGACUGCAGGGUCCCAGCAGUUUCGGAGACUCCUUUGUAAAGUAUCUUUACGCAUUCAGUAUUGUUCCCAUGAAGCUAAUGGAUGCAGCAGAACUGGUAAAACAGCCUCCAGAUGUCACUGAAAACCCUUACAGAAAAUCUGGGCAGGAAGCAUCCACAGGAAAGCAAAUUCUUGCCCCUGUGGAAGAAUCAGCCUGUCAGUUUUUCUUUGAUUUAAAUGAAAAGCAGGGAAGGAAGCGUUCAUCCACAGGUAGAGAUAGCAAAUCUUCUCCUCAUCCAAAGCAGCCUCGCAAACCUCCUCAGCCUCCAGGACCCUGCUGGUUUUGCCUUGCUAGCCCUGAAGUGGAAAAGCAUUUGGUGGUCAACAUUGGCACACAUUGCUACCUUGCCCUGGCCAAAGGAGGCUUAUCUGAUGACCAUGUCCUCAUCCUGCCCAUUGGACACUACCAGUC
rnacentral:sRNA from 1 species